GCAUAUCAAUAAGCGGAGGAAAAGAAACCAACAGGGAUUGCCCUAGUAACGGCGAGUGAAGCGGCAACAGCUCAAAUUUGAAAGCUGGCUCUCGGGCCCGCAUUGUAAUUUGCAGAGGAUGCUUCUGGCGACGCGCCUUCCGAGUUCCCUGGAACGGGACGCCAUAGAGGGUGAGAGCCCCGUCCGGUCGUGCGCCUAGCCUCUGUGAAGCUCCUUCGACGAGUCGAGUAGUUUGGGAAUGCUGCUCAAAAUGGGAGGUAUACGUCUUCUAAAGCUAAAUACCGGCCAGAGACCGAUAGCGCACAAGUAGAGUGAUCGAAAGAUGAAAAGCACUUUGAAAAGAGAGUUAAAAAGUACGUGAAAUUGUUGAAAGGGAAGCGCUCAUGACCAGACUUGGGCUGGCUCGAUCAUCCGGCGUUCUCGCCGGUGCACUCGGGCCGCUCAGGCCAGCAUCAGCUUCCGCCGGGGGAUAAAGGCGGUGGGAAUGUGGCUCCCUCGGGAGUGUUAUAGCCCGCCGUGCAAUACCCUGGUGGGGGCUGAGGUUCGCGCGUAUGCACGGAUGCUGGCGUAAUGGUCAUCAGCGACCCGUCUUGAAACACGGACCAAGGAGUCGUCUUCGUAUGCGAGUGUUCGGGUGUCAAACCCCUACGCGGAAUGAAAGUGAACGCUGGUGAGAGCUUCGGCGCAUCACCGACCGAUCCUGAUGUUCUCGGAUGGAUUUGAGUAAGAGCAUACGGGGCCGGACCCGAAAGAAGGUGAACUAUGCCUGUAUAGGGUGAAGCCAGAGGAAACUCUGGUGGAGGCUCGCAGCGGUUCUGACGUGCAAAUCGAUCGUCAAAUAUGGGCAUGGGGGCGAAAGACUAAUCGAACCUUCUAGUAGCUGGUUCCGCG
rnacentral:rRNA from 1 species